UACGUAGGGUGCGAGCGUUGUCCGGAAUUACUGGGCGUAAAGCGCGUGUAGGCGGCUUUGCAAGUCGGGUGUGAAAGCCCUCAGCUUAACUGAGGAAGUGCGCCCGAAACUGCUUGGCUUGAGUACCGGAGAGGAUGGCGGAAUUCCCCAAGUAGAGGUGAAAUUCGUAGAUAUGGGGAGGAACACCGGUGGCGAAGGCGGCCAUCUGGACGGAUACUGACGCUGAGACGCGAAAGCGUGGGUAGCAAACAGGA
rnacentral:rRNA from 1 species